GACGAACGCUGGCGGCGUGCCUAAUACAUGCAAGUAGAACGCUGAAGGAGGAGCUUGCUUCUCUGGAUGAGUUGCGAACGGGUGAGUAACGCGUAGGUAACCUGCCUGGUAGCGGGGGAUAACUAUUGGAAACGAUAGCUAAUACCGCAUAAGAGUAGAUGUUACAUGACAUUUGCUUAAAAGGUGCAAUUGCAUCACUACCAGAUGGACCUGCGUUGUAUUAGCUAGUUGGUGGGGUAACGGCUCACCAAGGCGACGAUACAUAGCCGACCUGAGAGGGUGAGCGGCCACACUGGGACUGAAACACGGCCCAGACUCCUACGAGAGGCAGCAGUAGGGAAUCUUCAGCAAUGGACGGAAGUCUGAACGAGCAACGCCGCGUGAGUGAAGAAGGUUUUCGGAUCGUAAAGCUCUGUUGUAAGAGAAGAACGAGUGUGAGAGUGGAAAGUUCACACUGUGACGGUAUCUUACCAGAAAGGGACGGCUAACUACGUG
rnacentral:rRNA from 1 species